GCAUUUUUAGCUCAAUUGGAAGAGCAGUAGCCUUCUAAGCUGUUAGUUAUAGGUUCGAGCCCUAUAAAAUGUA
rnacentral:tRNA from 1 species